AAAGGAAUAGACGGGGGCCCGCACAAGCGGCGGAGCAUGUUGCUUAAUUCGACGCAACGCGAAGAACCUUACCAAGGCUUGACAUCGCCCGGAAACAUCCAGAGAUGGGUGCCCCCCUUUGUGGGUCGGGUGACAGGUGGUGCAUGGCUGUCGUCAGCUCGUGUCGUGAGAUGUUGGGUUAAGUCCCGCAACGAGCGCAACCCUCGUUCCAUGUUGCCAGCACGCUCUUUUUGGGUGGUGGGGACUCAUGGGAGACUGCCGGGGUCAACUCGGAGGAAGGUGGGGAUGACGUCAAGUCAUCAUGCCCCUUAUGCCUUGGGCUGCAAACAUGCUACAAUGGCCGGUACAGUGGGUUGCGAGCCUGUGAGGGGGAGCGAAUCCCGAAAAGCCGGUCUCAGUUCGGAUUGGGGUCUGCAACUCGACCCCAUGAAGUCGGAGUCGCUAGUAAUCGCAGAUCAGCAAUGCUGCGGUGAAUACGUUCCCGGGCCUUGUACACACCGCCCGU
rnacentral:rRNA from 1 species